CCUACGGGAGGCUGCAGUGAGGAAUAUUGGUCAAUGGACGAGAGUCUGAACCAGCCAAGUAGCGUGAAGGAUGACUGCCCUAUGGGUUGUAAACUUCUUUUAUAUGGGAAUAAAAUGUUCCACGUGUGGGACUUUGUAUGUACCAUAUGAAUAAGGAUCGGCUAACUCCGUGCCAGCAGCCGCGGUAAUACGGAGGAUCCGAGCGUUAUCCGGAUUUAUUGGGUUUAAAGGGAGCGUAGGUGGAUUGUUAAGUCAGUUGUGAAAGUUUGCGGCUCAACCGUAAAAUUGCAGUUGAAACUGGCAGUCUUGAGUACGGUAGAGGUGGGCGGAAUUCGUGGUGUAGCGGUGAAAUGCUUAGAUAUCACGAAGAACUCCGAUUGCGAAGGCAGCUCACUGGACUGCAACUGACGCUGAGGCUCGAAAGUGUGGGUAUCAAACAGGAUUAGAUACCCCAGUAGUC
rnacentral:rRNA from 1 species